ACCAACUGAAGAGGUUUUUAUCGAAAUUGAGAUAACUAUUGAUUAUGAUAGUAGAUGGUAUCAAAUAUAGAUCCUAAAAAUUUGAGUUAAAAGAAAUACAUAUUUAUACUAGAAAAAGUCAUUUGAAAGUGUAAAAAAAUUAACGAGAUUUGAAAUGGCUCUGUCAUGGCCGAAAGCGGAAGUGACGUUAUAGUAUGGAAAUCACGGAAAAAUGUCGAGCUCAAGACACUAGAUCUAGCUAGAGGCCUGGAGGAUUCUAGAUCUUGUUUUUUGUUAUUAAGACCAACUUAACAAACCUGAGAUGAACUCCUAUUGAAAAAUCAGAGCAGGAAGGACUAGUCCUCCCGUAGUGCUCUGGCAAGAAACUUAGCCGUCCGGCGUAGUGCCUCAUAGCUACCAUACAAGUCGAGUGACUGCACAGGCAAGUCCCCCCUUAGCUCGCGGAGCUGGGGACACUCGUACAAGACAUGCGACACUGUUUCGACGCUCUCUCCACAGUGACGGCAUCGGGAGUCAAAGUUAGUGCGGAACCGGGCAAAGUAUGCCCCAAUAGGACAAUGUUCCGUCCUGCACUGCGCAACUAUUGACUGCUCUGACCUCCUCAGUCGCCAUUGUAGAAACCUGACAUUGACUAAAAGAUGAUCUGACGCAUCCAACAGUGGAUGGCUGCCUGAUUGUGUGUUAUGCCAGCUGGACUGUUAUUUUAUAAGACUGUUGAGCAUCUUUUACUUAUGAAUCUAAAAGAUGAUGCUAUGACACUCAAUGGCUUAGAAGAAAUCCUGUCAGUUUUAUAUGGUUAUGACAAUAAUCUUUAAUAAAUAAGUCUUAUACAAGGACAAUAAAGAUUAUUAUUAUUAUUA